AAUUCCUGGGUAGCUUCUGCCAAUGUGGUCAACACUGAGCCAGAUGGACCAAUUGUCUGACUCAGUGGAAGGCAGCUCCCUUUGUUCCUAUGAUGCUGGAACACAGCCCUUAUCACCCCUAAGUAUUGGUCAUGCUAGCUGGGGCUAAUGAGAGUUGCAGUCCCACAGCAUUUGAAGGGCACUACCUGGAUGUCGGCUGUCCUUGGUAUGUAGACAGCUCCUUGCUAUGCAUAUGGCCUGUCUACCCCCAAAAAAACCAGACAAGAAAGCCAACAAGCUACUAUAAAUAUUCUUAUUUCAGAGCUGGCCUUGUAAUCUUUUUUUAUAUGGUACAUCUAAACCAUUCAUGAGCCAGGCUGACACGCACUAUAAGGGGAAGACAUAUUAGCUACUUGUCAUGAUGCAUAUCUUAAUAUUUAGUGUUGAUUGUAACAUUGAGUCUGACAUUGAAAACAAAACACCAGGAGCUCCUUUGCUCGUUUAACCUUAUAAGUUAUGUGGUGCUUUAAAAAGAGCCCUUUACGUUUUGCCUCAAAUGGUCAUGUCACAUUUAUAUUAAUCCUAUUAAUUAUGUUUUUAAUCUUUCUUGCAUUAGCUUGGCCACUGGUGAUUAUCAGAGACGGCAACAUGUAUCAUGCAAUUAAUUUUAAAGUUAUUUCCCCUUUCUUUUUGUUUAAUAACAACUUCCAUGACAUUGUUUCUUUAGGCCUUGCUAAAGGCAUCCAUUUAUCUUUGCAAGUGAAAGUAUGAAUACCAUAUUUCCAAUAUAUAAAAGAAUACAGCAGUAUCUGAUGUAAUUUACACCAGUCUGUUUUCCCCCAAUGCCUUUGAAUUACAAAUAAUUAACACACUUCCCUUUUAAACAAAAGCAGAGGAUAAAUGAUCACAUUUCUUCUCUUUCUUCUGAAAGGACUGGAUAGAUGUAAGAUACCUCUUGCUACAGCAAAGUGCCAGAGGUAUGAUUAAUGGCAUCAUCAUUGCAGUGUAAUUUACUUAGAAGGACUUACACAACUGAUAAAAGUGUCAUGUGCUUUUACUAAACGGCAGCCUAAGUGAACUGUAUUUCAGGUUUUUAUAUCCUCAUUUUGGUCUUACCGUAAGACCCACAGAGGUUGCCUUCCUAGACAUGCAGGAUGGCUGAUGCAAGUUAAAUUAGCUCUCUUUUUUGCAUGAAAAAUAGCUUCUGUCUGCAUUUAAAAAAAACCAAAACUAUGGUGAAGAGGAAGAAAUUAGGUCACAAAAUAAAAUGUAUUUACAGACUAAUGCACAUUUCAUGUGGUUGGAGGAAAGUUUGAUUCUUAAAAAGAAGAAGCUUGCCCUUGAAAAAGGCAAUGAGGAACUAAGCAAGAGGACAAACAGGCUUCCUGCCUCCCAGCACCCCACCUCCUAACAAAGCCCUUCAGUCUCUGGAAUAAGAGCCACUUUACACAUCAGCCCAUUCCUACAUAGAGGUUCAGUAGCUGCACUGUUUUGUUUUUGCCAAAAGGUGGGAUGUGAUAGAUAAAGUAGCAGUCAAGUACAACAUUCCUUGUUUUCCUAGAGUGGGCAUGCAGGGGAAUGUUUGGUCCAGCCAGUCAAAAACUUCCUGUUUCCUCCUGGCUAGGAUAUACUUCCUUUGCACAUGACUAGAGGUGGGCGUGACCUUACCUGUCCAGGUAACACAAAAGGACAAGGCAUGCUGCCACACUCUCUUCCAUCUUUCUUUCAUCAUGUGAACUGCAGUGACUGCUAGCUUGCAGUCACUGGGAUUAUUCCCCCAUAUGGGGUAGAUCCACAUGCAUAUAUUACUUGUAACUAAGUCUGCCUUCAGGGAUCCAACUGUGAACUGAUGAUGGGAAUAAACUUCUUUUAUUGACUUUAAAUAAGGUUGUCGUGUGUUUAUUCUUGUAAGAGGGAUAUAAGGGAACUUACCAGGAACCUAAUAGCGAGAGGCUUACACAAGCCUGCAACCAGUUAUCCGCUGUGCGUUCAAAAGGGGAAUGUGAAACUCUGCUAAGGAAAAGGAACUUGCUAGCACAAGUUAGGAAGGAUAUUAAUAAACAAUAUAUCCUCUCCUGCCUCCCUAAACAUUCCCACAAAAAUGCUGUUUGGGCAGCCACUGCCAACAGCUCCGUGAAGAAGAAAUAACAGCACCCAUGUUAUACUUCAAAUCGAAUGGAACAGUUUGGUCUUUCCCCUACAUUAAGAUUUUAAAAUCAAAAUGCUAUGAGCCCCUUAUUCUGUCAGAAUAAACUUUUUUUUAAAAAAGGGCAGGCAGGAUUGCCUCUUUUGUUUCUUGUUUGUCCACUCCCACCCCACACUUUCCUUCUAAAUAUGACUGUAAUGCAACUGUUCUGAGAAUUCAGCAAGGCCCACUAGUCAUGAUGGUGAUUUAUUACCCCCAGUUUCAAAGGCAGCAUGCUUGUGAAUACUAACCAGUUGGUGGGAAACAAAGGGUAGGAGGGCGCUGCUGCAUUGCUGCCCUGCUUGUGGGCUCCCUAUAGUCAUCUUGGCUGGCCAAUGUGUGACUAGCUUGCUUGACUAGAUGGGCCUCUCUUGCUUGGUUCAGGAGGGCUCCCCUUGAUGUUCCUUGAGAUGGCACUGUUGCAAGUUCUGAUUGUCCUCUGGCUGCCAAGCAAAAGAUGUUGUGUAACACAUUUAGAUAGUCUUUCUUGUGGACCCAGGAGAAGCUGUAUGGAAUAUGGAAAGUAACAUGAGGUGAAAAUUAAAGACAUUACAUGGUGGGAGUAUUAAUGAAGGCUAUAGCUCAUAAAUUAUCAUCACCAAGUUAUCUCAGUAGGAAAGGUGACUUGACGUUUCCCAGACUGCGAAGGAUUUUACAUUCACAUUUGGAAAUAAUGAUGGAGAGUUUAAUCAUCAACUUACAUUAGGUCUGUAAUUCACAAGGGGGCGGUUCCAUUCUUCUUGAUAUGGAUCAUUGGCCUCUAGCCCAACAUCUCCUCUGACUUUUAUCUUGAGUUCCUACAUUUUUCUAAUACUCUUUCUUGUUAGGGAGAUAAUUUAAAAUCAGUUGGGCGUAAAAAACAACCAGUGUUCUUAUUUCCUUUCAGAUUUUUGAGGGUAGGACAAUCAGUGUGGCUUUCCCUGAGGCAAUGCCGGAUUAGCAUCUCUGAUCUGACAAGAGUAUGGAUAGCCCCUUAUGUUCUGGUGAUGUGUCUCCAUGGGAGGUAAGAAGUGAUGAUCAGAAGAGUUGACCCCUUUUGAAUUCUCCUCCUAGACAGGUGUAGGGGACAAGGUGUCUUCACCUGAAAAGGACUAUAGGUUGAAGUUUGGGCAAGGAAGAGUAAGAGUACUGAGUUUGGGCUCUGUAAGCAUCUUAUUUUGGCUGUUUCUACAGUGGGAGAUGUCUGUUGGCUGCUCAACUUGUGCCUCCACCUGUGUAUGUUUGUUAAUAAAGACAUGUAUUAC